GUUUCAGUAUUGGCAGCUCGGUAGAAAUUGUGGGAGGUGGGGACAUUGAAUGUCAGCAGUUCUGAACGUUCUACCCAAUGUCACAUGAGAGAACGAGCACACUGUCACAAACAGCAUGUUGAUAUUGAUGCGGUGCAGACACAGACCAUUUCCAUCAUUAUGGAAAACAUCCUCAAUGGGAAAUGUUUGGCCAAUGUGGAAGAGGUGAAACAGAAAACAGCAGAAGCACUAAAAAGCAUCAAAACU